GCUUACGGCCACACCGCCUGAUUCACGCCCGAUCUCGUUUGAUCUCGGAAGCUAAAAUAGGUUGGGCCUGGUUAGUACUUGGAUGGGAGACCGCCUGGGAAUACCAGGUGCUGUAAGCU
rnacentral:rRNA from 1 species